GCCCCUCCUUCCUGGAGCCACAGCUGAGGCAGCGGCGGUGGCAGCAGCGGCGGCAGCAGCCGGGCUGGGGGCGGCGAGUGGCCCGCGCGACACGCGCCGGCCUCGACCCUAUGCUUUGAUUCGCGUGGCGCAGGCGCCUACUGCCCCGCCGGCGGGGCCCGGGCUUCCUGCCGCGGGAUGUUCUCCCGAAGGAGCCACGGGGAUGUGAAGAAGUCCACCCAGAAGGUGCUGGACCCGAAGAAGGACGUGCUGACCCGCCUGAAGCACCUGCGGGCGCUGCUGGAUAAUGUGGAUGCAAGUGAUCUUAAGCAGUUUUUUGAGACCAACUAUUCUCAGAUAUAUUUCAUCUUCUAUGAAAAUUUUAUAACACUGGAAAAUAGUUUGAAAUUAAAAGGGAAUAAUAAGUCACAAAGGGAGGAGCUGGACUCCAUCCUCUUCCUUUUUGAAAAAAUACUGCAGUUUCUACCUGAACGAAUUUUCUUUCGAUGGCAUUACCAGAGUAUAGGCUCAACUUUAAAGAAGCUUCUACACACUGGAAAUUCUACUAAGAUAAGAUGUGAAGGAAUCAGGCUGUUUCUUCUGUGGCUUCAAGCACUUCAGACAAACUGUGCAGAAGAGCAGGUGCUGAUUUUUGCUUGCCUGGUGCCUGGUUUCCCAGCAGUCAUGUCAUCCAGGGGCCCUUGCACACUGGAGACACUCAUCAAUCCCAGCCCUAGUGUAGCUGAUGUAAAGAUAUAUCCAGAAGAAAUCACUCCACUCCUGCCAGCCAUAUCGGGGGAGAAGAUUGCUGAGGACCAAACCUGCUUUUUUCUUCAAAUACUGUUGAAGUAUAUGGUUAUUCAGGCUGCAAGCUUGGAGUGGAAGAAUAAGGAGAAUCAAGAUACUGGUUUUAAAUUUCUUUUUACAUUGUUUCGAAAGUAUUAUCUUCCUCAUUUAUUUCCAUCAUUUACUAAGUUAACAAACAUCUACAAACCUGUACUUGACAUCCCCCAUUUGAGACCAAAGCCAGUGUACAUUACUACAACUCGAGACAAUGAGAACAUUUACAGUACAAAAAUUCCGUAUAUGGCAGCUCGUGUUGUUUUUAUUAAGUGGAUUGUAACCUUCUUUUUGGAAAAAAAGUAUCUAACUGCAACACAGAACACUAAAAAUGGAGUUGAUGUAUUGCCUAAAAUCAUCCAGACUGUUGGUGGUGGUGCUGUGCAGGAGAGAGCGCCUGAGCUGGAUGGUGGUGGGCCCAUGGAGCCAGACAAAAGCCAUUCUAACAGCAGCACCCUGUCGGACCGAAGACUCAGUAACUCCAGCCUCUGUAGCAUUGAGGAAGAGCACCGAAUGGUGUAUGAAAUGGUACAGCGGAUUCUCUUGUCAACACGAGGUUAUGUCAACUUCGUGAAUGAAGUAUUUCACCAGGCAUUUUUGUUGCCUUCCUGUGAGAUAGCUGUAACAAGAAAAGUAGUUCAAGUGUACAGAAAGUGGAUCCUCCAGGACAAACCUGUGUUCAUGGAGGAGCCAGAUAGAAAAGAUGUUGCCCAAGAAGAUGCUGAAAAAUUAGGAUUUUCUGAGACUGAUAGCAAGGAGGCCUCGUCUGAAAGUUCUGGUCAUAAACGAUCUUCCAGUUGGGGACGCACGUACUCCUUCACAAGUGCAAUGAGCAGAGGGUGUGUGACAGAGGAGGAAAAUACAAAUGUGAAAGCUGGCGUCCAGGCUUUGUUGCAGGUAUUUUUGACGAACUCUGCAAACGUCUUUUUGUUGGAACCAUGUGCUGAAGUUCCUGUGCUCUUGAAAGAACAAGUUGAUGCUUGUAAAGCUGUUUUGAUUAUUUUUAGGCGCAUGAUAAUGGAGCUUACAAUGAAUAAAAAGACAUGGGAACAGAUGUUGCAAAUACUACUCAGGAUAACAGAAGCUGUCAUGCAGAAGCCAAAGGAUAAACAAAUAAAGGACUUGUUUGCCCAGAGCUUGGCAGGGUUACUAUUUAGGACGCUCAUGGUGGCUUGGAUCCGAGCAAACCUCUGUGUGUACAUUUCUCGAGAGCUCUGGGAUGACUUUCUUGGUGUGCUGUCCUCCCUCACGGAAUGGGAGGAACUUAUAAACGAGUGGGCCAACAUUAUGGACUCCUUGACAGCAGUGCUUGCAAGAACCGUUUAUGGAGUUGAGAUGACAAACCUACCUCUGGAUAAAUUAAGUGAACAAAAGGAAAAGAAGCAACGAGGCAAAGGCUGUGUUCUAGAUCCUCAGAAAGGAACCACUGUGGGGAGAUCCUUUUCUCUCAGCUGGCGGAGCCACCCAGAUGUGACCGAACCGAUGCGAUUUAGGAGUGCCACCACGUCUGGAGCACCGGGAGUGGAAAAGGCGAGAAAUAUUGUUCGCCAAAAAGCAACUGCUAAGCGAAGCCAGUCUAUCAGCAACUGUGUCCACCUUUCUGAGGCUUUGCCUGCCACUAAAAGCGUCCCGCUCCUCCUUCACACCGUGAGCGCUCUCUUACCUGGUCUCUCUUACUCUUCUUGCUCUCACAGGCUGUCAGAAGUAGAGGAGUGUCAACAGUCAGAAAAUGCAUCUGCAGCCGGAUCUGUCUAUCUCACGGUGGGACAGCAGCAGCAGGUCCUUCGGAGCAGUAGCACCUCCGACAUCCCUGAGCCGCUGUGCUCAGAUUCUUCUCAGGGUCAAAAGGCAGAAAACACACAGAAUUUGAGUUCUUCAGAGCCUCAGCCUAUUCAAGAGAAUAAAGGACAUGUGAAGAGAGAACAUGAAGGAAUAACAAUUUUAGUUCGAAGAAGCAGCAGCCCUGCUGAAUUGGAUUUGAAAGAUGAUUUGCAGCAGACACAAGGAAAAUGUAGGGAAAGACAGAAGAGUGAAAGUACCAACAGUGACACAGCUCUGGGCUGUAUCAAUGAGGCGGAGCUGUCCAUGGGCCCAUGGCAGACCUGUGAGGAAGACCCAGAGCUGAAUACUCCCACAGAUGUUGUGGCUGAUGCGGAUGCUCGUCAUUGGUUACAACUGAGUCCCACUGAUGCUUCGAAUUUAACAGAUAGCAGUGAGUGCCUCGCAGAUGACUGUAGUAUAAUCGCCGGGGGGAGCCUCACUGGUUGGCACCCAGACUCUGCUGCUGUGUUGUGGCGAAGGGUCUUGGGGAUCCUUGGAGAUGUGAAUAACAUCCAGUCACCCAAGAUCCAUGCCAGAGUUUUCUGCUAUCUCUAUGAACUCUGGUACAAACUAGCAAAGAUACGGGAUAAUCUAGCAAUAAGCCUGGAUAACCAGUCUUCUCCAUCUCCUCCAGUUUUGAUCCCACCUCUCAGAAUGUUUGCAUCAUGGCUAUUUAAGGCGGCGACACUGCCAAAUGAAUAUAAGGAAGGCAAACUGCAAGCCUACAGGCUGAUCUGUGCCAUGAUGACCAGACGCCAGGACGUUCUGCCAAACUCAGAUUUCCUGGUGCAUUUUUAUCUUGUGAUGCACCUGGGAUUAACCAGCGAGGAUCAGGAUAUCUUAAACACCAUCAUAAGGCACUGUCCACCCCGCUUUUUCUCCCUGGGUUUUCCUGGCUUCUCAAUGCUGGUGGGGGACUUCAUCACAGCCGCUGCCAGGGUCCUUAGCACAGACAUGUUGACGGCGCCUCGUUCAGAGGCUGUCACUGUCCUUGGCUCUCUGGUCUGCUUUCCAAAUACCUACCAGGAGAUUCCUUUACUGCAGUCAGUGCCAGAAGUAAAUGAGGCCAUUACAGGAACUGAAGAUGUCAAGCAUUACCUCAUAAAUAUUUUACUGAAGAAUGCCACAGAAGAACCAAAUGAAUAUGCAAGAUGCAUUGCUGUUUGCUCCCUUGGGGUCUGGAUAUGUGAAGAGCUUGCACAGUGUACAAGCCACCCUCAGGUGAAAGAGGCCAUCAAUGUGAUAGGAGUAACUCUGAAGUUUCCCAACAAAAUCGUGGCCCAGGUAGCUUGCGAUGUGCUUCAGUUGCUGGUUUCCUACUGGGAGAAACUUCAGAUGUUUGAAACCUCUCUGCCUCGGAAAAUGGCAGAAAUCCUUGUGGCCACAAUUGCUUUUCUUUUACCAAGUGCAGAGUACUCCUCAGUGGAAACAGACAAGAAGUUUAUUGUGUCCUUGCUACUCUGCCUCUUGGACUGGUGCAUGGCAUUGCCCGUGAGUGUCCUUCUCCACCCCGUGUCCACGGCAGUCCUAGAGGAGCAGCAUUCGGCCAGAGCCCCCUUGCUGGAUUAUAUCUACAGGGUUCUGCACUGCUGUGUGUGUGGCUCAAGCACGUACACCCAACAGAGUCACUACACACUGACCCUAGCUGACUUGUCAUCCACGGAUUAUGACCCCUUCCUGCCACUGGCAAAUGUGAAGAGCUCUGAGCCAGUCCAGUAUCAUUCAUCAGCGGAACUGGGUAACCUGCUGACUGUUGAAGAGGAGAAGAAGAGAAGAAGUUUGGAGUUGAUCCCCUUGACUGCUCGAAUGGUGAUGGCCCACCUGGUGAACCACCUGGGGCACUACCCCCUCAGUGGGGGCCCUGCCAUACUGCACAGCCUUGUCAGUGAGAACCACGACAAUGCCCAUGUGGAAGGCUCUGAGCUGUCCUCUGAGGUGUUCAGAAGCCCAAACCUGCAGCUGUUUGUAUUUAACGAUAGCACCCUCAUCUCCUACCUUCAGACACCCACAGAAGGACUGGCAGGAGGAUCACCAGUGGGCUGUCUCUCUGAUGUGAGAGUAAUUGUGAGGGAUAUCUCAGGGAAGUACUCUUGGGAUGGUAAGGUUUUAUAUGGACCUUUGGAAGGCUGCUUAGCACCCAAUGGAAGAAAUCCUUCAUUUCUGGUUUCAAGCUGGCAUCAUGACACAUUUGGACCUCAGAAAGACUCUUCUCAAGUUGAGGAGGGGGAUGAUGUUCUUGACAAAUUACUUGAAAACAUUGGCCAUACAAGUCCUGAAUGCCUUUUACCAUCACAGCUAAAUCUAAAUGAACCUUCCCUACCCCCAUGUGGCAUGAACUAUGACCAAGAGAAGGAAAUUAUCGAGGUCAUUUUGCGCCAAAAUGCUCAGGAGGAUGAGUAUAUCCAGAGUCAUAACUUCGAUUCUGCAAUGAAAGUCACCAGCCAAGGGCAGCCCUCCCCAGUGGAGCCCCAAGGACCCUUUUAUUUCUGCAGGUUAUUGCUUGAUGACUUGGGAAUGAAUUCUUGGGACAGAAGGAAGAAUUUUCAUCUGUUGAAGAAAAAUUCAAAAUUAUUGAGAGAGCUAAAAAAUUUGGACUCCCGCCAGUGCCGUGAGACACACAAAAUCGCAGUGUUUUACAUUGCUGAAGGUCAAGAAGACAAGUGUUCAAUCCUCUCUAACGAAAGAGGAAGCCAAGCAUAUGAAGACUUUGUUGCUGGACUUGGAUGGGAGGUGGAUCUCUCCACCCACUGUGGGUUCAUGGGUGGCCUUCAGCGCAAUGGCAGCACCGGGCAGACAGCCCCUUACUAUGCUACCUCGACUGUGGAAGUGAUUUUCCACGUUUCCACUCGAAUGCCAUCAGACUCAGAUGAUUCCCUCACCAAAAAGCUUCGUCACUUGGGGAAUGACGAGGUCCAUAUUGUCUGGUCUGAACACUCCAGAGACUACCGCAGGGGUAUUAUCCCAACCGCCUUUGGAGAUGUUUCAAUCAUUAUUUACCCAAUGAAGAAUCACAUGUUCUUCAUCGCGAUAACGAAGAAACCUGAGGUUCCAUUUUUUGGGCCUCUGUUCGAUGGAGCCAUAGUGAGUGGGAAGCUGCUGCCAAGCCUUGUAUGUGCCACGUGCAUCAACGCCAGCAGGGCUGUGAAGUGCCUCAUCCCACUCUACCAGAGCUUCUAUGAAGAGCGAGCUCUGUAUCUCGAAGCAAUAAUUCAGAACCACCGCGAAGUCAUGACAUUCGAGGAUUUCGCAGCCCAAGUCUUUUCUCCCUCUCCCAGCUACUCCCUCAGCGGAACGGAACUGCCUUAAAGAUUGUGUCUGGAUCUAAAAAUCUUGGAGGAAUCCACUUGUGUCUGCUGAUAAAUCAAUCCCCAGAUCACUAUUUCAGUCACAGCUAGCAAUCUGGUAGCCAAGGGCUACAGUCUCUUAGUGAAAGUGGGCCACUGACAAGAAAUCUGAUAAGAAGCCGGUGUGGAGAAAGGCAGGGGAAGUCAGGAGCCGGCGAAUCCAUAGACGGAGUAACUGAAACUUGAUUCAAGGUGCUUUCGCAGAUGGUCUCAAGGGUCUUAAAGGGAAUUAUCGAUUACCCUGUUUAGCACCAUUUUAGGCUUCGUGCUGCUUCAUCCCUUUGUUCCUUUAAAACUUUUUUACUCUCCUCGGAGUCAGCUCUGGAAGAGAUGAGACAAGCAUUCUUUUCAUUUGCUUGGCUAGAAAAGCGCCACUGCUACCUGUCAGAUGUUACCAUCUCUGACGUGGUCCCUGUUGCCCCUGGAGGCUGCCACUGAGCAGGACUGUGCAGGGCACUUCAGGCAACACAAAGUAAAGCUCUGGGAACCUCUUGCAGGCCUGUAUCUCUCCUUCCCUUGUGAAGCUUGAAGUCUUAUUGGAGAAAAGCAGAUACUCAUGAGCCACAAGAAAUGGCUAUUAAUAAGCCCAGAUAAGUUUCCUCCAAACUAUAACCUGUGUCAAAAAGAUAACCAGCCAGUGGUUUAGGCCAGUUGGGUUGAGAUUUCCCUGAGAUGAACCAUGCCAUUUGCCUUGUGAACUUGAGGAGAAUGAAAACUUGCCUCGUGUGUGUUAGCUAUUCUACUAAGCAUCCUGCCAGCCGGUUUGGAACUUCCCCACAUUGCCUAAUGUCUGAGAACUGGAAGGCCCAUGGACAAAAAUAAAAAGAUAGAGGAUAGUAAAUGUGAGAAGAGCAGAGAGAAAGAAACCACAUGUUUCAGAGCCACUGCGGGGACAGUGACAACUCCUGACAACCCUGGGGCUGAUGCUGGGGCUAUUCAUAGGUUCCCAGAAUAAGAAGUGGCCUGAGAUCAUUCAUUUUGAAGUGUCGACCUUGCACUGAAUCUGUUCCUUUGGCGGAACUCUGAAGGUGCAGCUUUUUCUGUGAAAUGCUGCGUUGGGUUCUGGGUUCCCAAUCCUUACAGGGUUUUAAGUGCAGGUGGCAUCUUCCUCCUGCCUGACUGCUAAUUACAGCUCAGGGGAUGCUUUAGCAGUUGCCAAGAGAUGGCUGGCAGGUACCAGGAAUUUUUCUCAGAGACAAUUUUUGGAAAUAACUCUUAAUUAAAGCUUGUUUGAAAUAACCUUGAGAAUUUGUUUCAGAAGAACCUGGAGCUCCCGACACCCCAGGUUCACAUUCCUUGUGAACCGUGACUGUGGCCCUCAAGUCCUCCUGGCUCAGCAGGUGGUGCAUGCACAACCUCAGCUGCUGAGGGGCCUCCUAGAAGACUCUGGUUUUGCUCAAAUUCCUGUCCAGCAACAGCCAAACCAAAGCAGAGGCCAAAUGGAGCCUCUCUUAUUUGCAGUUAAGUCUUCUGACAGAAAGAAGAAAGAAUAUUUUAUACUGUCCUUUUCCAGGAAGAUAUAGGAUAAUAACAGGAACUAAACCUGUCAGUAGCACAGGUUUUCUCUAUAGAGAAAAGCCGGUUCCUUUUUGCCCAUUAGCCUUUAAAGUCCCUCAAAACAGCUGAAGGAAUAAAAUCCCUUAAAAAUGGAAACAUGCCCAUCCAUUUUGAAAUAAAUAACUUUAUGUAUUUACAACGUUGAUGUGGCCAAAUUCUCAGUACACAAGCAACCUAGUAGCAUCACCGUGGACAAUGCCGAGAAAGAGUAGGGAAAACCCUGUUUUGUGACCACUUCAAGAAUAUAAGACAAUAGAAUCCAGAUGCAUGGAGGACGUGUUCCACCUACCUGUGCCCCCACGCAGAGGCUCCUCUGGCCUUUCCCGCAGCACUCAGCUGUGACCUGUGGUGGGAACCAGUGGCCUUCACCAUUCCAGCAUCUGUCUUCUCCUGUGUGGGACUGUGUGAUCUAUGAGAUUGCCUGAGGAUAAGGAAAAGCAAUCAUGGGUCUGGCUUGGAAAGGUUCCACUCCCCCAUACCCCUAAUCUCAGGCAAAACAGGAAGUGCGCACACCUUGCCUUGCCAUUGCUGCUGAAUGUGUUUGGGCAGACCCUGCAGUCAGCGUGCAUCCCAGAGCCCAUGCGCUGUCAUUAGGGAAGCCCUGCUUCCUAGCUACAUCCCUAGGGUGCAGAGAAGCAGCUGGAGAAACAGUGAGACUCCAGUUAGCACCACAGCCUCCAGGUAACAUCUGGGCAUGCAGCUUUGUGAGGCCAGGCGCUCUGGACCGGGGUGACAGUCACUGACCCAACAGCAUCACACAUGAGAGCCCCAGAGGAAAUCAGUCUCCACGGAGAAGGAAGGAGGAGACCAGAAGUGGAAAUCUGCAGCCCGCUAGGCUGACUCUGCUCUUUCUCCCACUUACCCAAAGCUAGCAACUUGCUCAAGGCCAAAUUGAGAUAUUAAACCUCAGGUCCACUCAAGACCUGGGGACACAGAGGGACACACCUUUGCUACAAUUUCAGUAGAUGCGAACUGCAGCUUCACUCCUCAGAGCGUCUCAUAAAGCCCACAAAAGUGGGUUUUCUCAUAAAGCCCAUAAAUGUUUACCAAACAUUGAAUAUGCCAGUUGCAGAGAUGGGCAAGACAGACAGCAGCCCUUCCUCCACUGGAGGCUCACCUUCCAGACUGGCGAGUAGACAAUGGUGUCUGCUCUCAGGAGCUGAAGAGUGCUGAGGAGAAAAGACAACAGGGAAAGAGCCUCGGGAAUGCUACUGAGAAAAACCCAACACACCUGGGGUGGGGGUGCACUUUAAAAUAGGGGGUCAGAGAAGGCCUCCCUGGAAAGGCGGCAUGUGAGAAAUGAUGAGGAGGGAGGGGCAGGAAAGAGCAGGUGGAAGGGCCUGAGGCAGGGACUUUCCCGGCACAAUCAAGGAACAAGGAGCCCAGCCUACUUAGAGCUGAGCAAGCCCGGGUGGGCAGGAGGAACAGGGAGGUCAGAGUGGCCUUGCGGGCAGAGGACAAGACCUUGGCUCUUGCUCUGGUGAGUUGGGCAGCACACAAAGCCUGUGAAGCAGCAGAGUGCUAUGAUAUGACUCUUCUACAAAGGGCAGUCAGGCUUCAGUGCGGAGGAUGCACUGUGGGGAGGGGGGACAACUUCCAUGACAGUUUACUCGCCAUGUAUUCCCAUCUCCAGACACGCAACAGGCAUGUCAUACGUGUCUGGUGCAUGAACGGAUGUUAUGCUCAUACAAGAGGUGUUCUGCCUGAACAUUCCCUGGGGGACACUAGAGGGGCCCUCAGCGGUGCCCCCUCACUCCAGCACCACAGAACACAGCCACUAUCCUGGAUUGCCCAGACAGGCAGAACGUGGAGCUCAGCCACAUGUCCCACCCUGCCCUCAAGACCCUGCAGACCCCUGUGAGUUCCAGUGCUCGUGAGUACGGGUGUGCAUGAAGAAUCGCGCAGAUGGCCACCCCCGCUACACAGAGAGUGACUUCAAGAAACUUUAAACACCUCAGUGACACAGAAGGGCAAGGAUGGGAGGCCAAGGCUCCCUAGCUUUUUUUACUCUUACAAAAAUGGUCUCCAGGACUCUGUGAACUGUAACCAUUCUUUAUGUAUGUGUAGAGAUGUGCAAUUUACUGCACGCUUUCCGCAGAGUCCCCCGCCCAUGGGGCAAGAUUGCUCUGACAGUUGAGGAAUGGAGGCAGGCUGGUUUUUCCAUCACCAGGUGGCUGUUCAUGUCCUGACCAGGGCUCGAGCACUUAGGCCUCUUAGUUCUCAGACAGGACUCAUUGCUCCACCCUACAGCCCCCUUGCGUCUCCGUGCCUGCUGUGGGGGACCCACCCACAGGAAUGAACAACCCAGUGGCGGGGAGGAGCCCUUCUUCGGUGGCAGUGGCAAAAUGUUCCUCCCUGAAGGCAGAAAGGACUGUUUUCUAGAAUGUGUAACCUGUAUAGUUUUUACAGUGGCAAAGGCACACCCACUUUGGCACAGAUAACUGAGAAAUUUAACUAAAGGGUUGCCUACUUUACAAUUCAAAAGGAGCACCAUAGAAAUAAUUCACAUAUAACAAGUAUCUUAAUUAUGGGCCAAAAUUCCUUUCUGAGGACAAGACAUUUUUUAUCAAUGAAACUACCAGACACGUCCAUUGCUUCUGCAGUGUUUCCUCAGACACCUCACAAAAAUACCUAGAACUCACUGUCCUCCCACAAUCACCAUGGAUGUAACUGCUACAUUUUCUUGAGCUGUUGAUUAUUAGGGAAAUUUUUAAAAUAUAGUCCUGAGUGGUGCACACACUCCCAGUGUAUCUUGGGACAAAUCACACGGUAAUCCCACCUCACUGCCGCAGUCACUCCUGAGUUGUUUUAAAACAGAUCAAUUCAAGUUAGAAUAAGCUUGGGAGACAACCUGGAAGGGAAAACAAGUCACUGAAAAGCAGUGUGCCAUCGGUGGGGUGGCCCUCUUUGCUUUGAGGGUGGUGUGAGGCACAGCAGGAGAGGUGCUGGUGGCAUCUGCAGAGCUUCAUAGCUGCCCUCGUUCCCCUGCUUGCCUGGGUGCCCCUGGGGGAUUUUCUUCCUGAAAUCUCAGAGCCAUUUCUGUUGUGUCACUUUUGGAAUCAUGGGAAUAGUAGUGCCACCCAGACCACCUUCUAUUCUAUUUUGCCAUUUUAAAAACCAGCUUGUUGAGAUCUAAUUCACAUAUCAUGCAGUUCAGCCAUAUGAAGUAUACAAGUCAGUGUCUUUGGUCUAUUCAUUAGGUUAUGCAACCAUUACCACAAUCAAAUUCUAUAAUAUUUCAUCCCCCUUUAAACAGCCUGCCGAUAGUCAAUCCCCCUUCUCCCCGCCCACCCCUCAACUCUAAACAACCACGAAUCCACUUUUUGUGUCUAUGGACCUGCCCAUUCUGGACAUUUCAUAUAAAUAAAAUCAUCCCAUAUGUGGUC